AGAGUUUGAUCCUGGCUCAGGACGAACGCGGGCGGCGUGCCUAAUACAUGCAAGUCGAGCGGACCAACGAGGAGCUUGCUCCUCAGAGGUCAGCGGCGGACGGGUGAGUAACACGUGGGCAACCUGCCUGUAAGACUGGGAUAACUCCGGGAAACCGGGGCUAAUACCGGAUAACAUCUUCCUCUGCAUAGAGGAGGAUUGAAAGAUGGCUUCUCGCUAUCACUUACAGAUGGGCCCGCGGCGCAUUAGCUAGUUGGUGGGGUAAGGGCUCACCAAGGCGACGAUGCGUAGCCGACCUGAGAGGGUGAUCGGCCACACUGGGACUGAGACACAGCCCAGACUCCUACGGGAGGCAGCAGUAGGGAAUCUUCGGCAAUGGACGAAAGUCUGACCGAGCAACGCCGCGUGAGUGAGGAAGGCCUUCGGGUCGUAAAGCUCUGUUGUUAGGGAAGAACAAGUACCGUUCGAACAGGGCGGUACCUUGACGGUACCUAACCAGAAAGCCACGGCUAACUACGUGCCAGCAGCCGCGGUAAUACGUAGGUGGCAAGCGUUGUCCGGAAUUAUUGGGCGUAAAGCGCGCGCAGGCGGUCUCUUAAGUCUGAUGUGAAAGCCCACGGCUCAACCGUGGAGGGUCAUUGGAAACUGGGGGACUUGAGUACUGGAGAGGAGAGUGGAAUUCCAUGUGUAGCGGUGAAAUGCGUAGAUAUAUGGAGGAACACCAGUGGCGAAGGCGGCUCUCUGGCCAGUAACUGACGCUGAGGCGCGAAAGCGUGGGGAGCAAACAGGAUUAGAUACCCUGGUAGUCCACGCCGUAAACGAUGAGUGCUAGGUGUUGGGGGGUUCCACCCUCAGUGCUGACGUUAACACAUUAAGCACUCCGCCUGGGGAGUACGACCGCAAGGUUGAAACUCAAAGGAAUUCGACGG
rnacentral:rRNA from 1 species